rnacentral:rRNA from 1 species
UACGAAGGGGGGCUAGCGUUGCUCGGAAUCACUGGGCGUAAAGCGCACGUAGGCGGAUCUUUAAGUCAGGGGGUGAAAUCCUGGAGCUCAACUCCAGAACUGCCUUUGAUACUGGGGAUCUCGAGUCCGGAAGAGGUGAGUGGAACUCCGAGUGUAGAGGUGAAAUUCGUAGAUAUUCGGAAGAACACCAGUGGCGAAGGCGGCUCACUGGUCCGGUACUGACGCUGAGGUGCGAAAGCGUGGGGAGCAAACAGG